rnacentral:lncRNA from 10 species
UCAUUAGUUCCUUGACCUGCAGGUGGACUGAGAAGAGAGCCAUGCAGGUAGCAGGCAAGAGUGUGGUUAUCGUUGGACCAGGAUUCAGGAUCUGACUGAGUAGCUGACUCUUAAUCCAGUUUGUGUUGAUCACCAGGAGGAUCUGGACCUCAGUAUUACCACAUCUAGAGCUAUAAUCACAUCCCUGUUAAGCCUUCCUGAGAUCACACCAAAUGUCCUUGAUGGGAAUUGUAAACAACCCUUACUUCUGGUUUCUAAUGAUAUUCCAGGAAAGGAGCCUAACUAGAGUCAGUGAUAUGCCAACUCCACCUUUGCCUUCCACCAUGUUUGGAAGCUCCCUGAGGCCUCACCAGGAGCAGAUGCUCGUCCCAUGCUUCCUAUAAGCCUGCAGAACUGUGAGCCAUAAUAAACUGUGAAUUAUAAAUUGCCUUUAUAGCAAUGCAAAUGGACCAGUACAGAUGGGAUGCUGGGAAGACAGUUGUUUCCACCUUCAGUAAAGUCCGUGGAACACAGUUGUGACUAUAUUCUAGGCCAGCCAAGAUGCUUGUACUCAGAAAGGAGUGGUCUCAGGACCAUAAGAAAGUGAAAAAAUAAAAAUAAGAAAAUAAAGAAGGGAUUGUCAAUGAAUCAGAAUUCAUCAAGGUCAAAGUCUUAGGAAAUUCCUUCAUGAGGAAGUCUAGGGGGGCUAUGGAAAUGAAAUUUUUAAACAAAUAGGUAUGUGGUGCUGGCAGGAAUAAAUUAUGGACUUAUGAAUAUAACAUAAGAUUCUUUAUUACCUGGUCUCACCCGUCUUUCCACCUCUGCCCCCCUUCUUGCCCGACUCUGUGUAUCACCCAUAAUAAACUACUUACAGCUUCCUAGUGUUAAAUUUACCCUAAAGCUGCCUCCUUCAAUAUUUUAAGUUUAACCUAAAGGUUCUUCAUACAUAGUGAACUAUAACCCAAUGAUUAAACAGAUUGUAACCUACUCUUGUACCAGUCACCAAGUUUCAGCCAAUCAGAGGUGGCCAACUGUUCAAACCAUGCUCAAAUAAGGGAAAUGUCAUGGUGUAACUAAUCCAGCUGUUUCUAUACCUUACUUCUGUUUUCUUAGGUCACUUUCCUUUUUUGUCCAUAAAUUCUCUCCAACCACUCAGCAGCACUGGAGUCACUCCAAAGCUAUCCUGGUUCAGGGGUCUGUCUGAUUCACAAGUCAUUCUUUGUUCAAUUGAG